rnacentral:rRNA from 1 species
CCUACGGGAGGCAGCAGUGAGGAAUAUUGGUCAAUGGACGAAAGUCUGAACCAGCCAAGCCGCGUGAAGGAAGACUGCUCUAUUGGUUGUAAACUGCUUUUGUACAGGAAUAAAUCGAGGUACGUGUGCCUUUCUGUAAGUACUUUACGAAUAAGGAUCGGCUAACUCCGUGCCAGCAGCCGCGGUAAUACGGAGGAUCCGAGCGUUAUCCGGAUUUAUUGGGUUUAAAGGGUGCGUAGUCGGGUUGAUAAGUUAGUUGUGAAAAGUUUGGGCUUAACUGUUGAACUGCCAUUGAUACUGUCGAUCUUGAGAGCAGUUGAGGUAGGCGGAAUUCAUGGUGUAGCGGUGAAAUGCUUAGAGAUCGGGAAGAACCCCGAUUGCGAAGGCAGCUUACUAAUCUGUAACUGACGUUGAGGCACGAAAGCGUGGGUAGCAAACAGGAUUAGAUACCCCAGUAGUC